ensembl:lncRNA novel transcript
AAGUGAGUCGGCGGAAGUGGGAGCGCGGCAAGCGGAUGGAGCCAGCGAGAAACACAUAGCCAGGGUUCUGUCGCAUGACCCCCGACGGCACCUGCUCCCCAUCAGCAGCAUCAUACUCCGAUGGAUAAACUGAGGGCUCAGUGGGUCAUGACCUGCCCAGAGUCAUGGAGGGAGUGAGAGGCAGAGCCAGGAUGAGCUCCCAGGCCCUGAAACUUCUGGGCCAGUGGCCUACACACAGAGCUUCCCACCCUUCCUCAUUGGGUUUCUGCAAGCCCUCCCCACCCCAGCACUCUGCAGGGCCUGGGAAGUGAACCAGCUGGGAGGAUUCUUAGAGAAGAAAAGUGCUGAUUUAAGAGAAACUGCAUUAUUUGUGAAAUACAAAAUUCAUCUUGUGGGUGUAAGAGAUGCCUUCGUGGACGGAUGAAGCUCCUGGUACUAAGUAGCAGGAGUGCAGUGAAGCUGCUGUGUUCUCCAGCUCGUAGUUAAGGGCCAGUCAGGAUCAGACAUCUUGCCCUGAUGGAAAAGAAGAUGAACAGAUACCUCCUGACCUGGAUAGCAAUUAAUUCUGGGGACCUAGAUCCCCAAGGACUUUAGGAUGAGGCAGCAGUUUGGAUUUAGGAUCAACAUGGUAUUUAAAAUAUAAAAGCAUUGUAGUGUUGGGGAAGCAUCAUUUAAAAGAACUUGUGGGGUCCCUGUCAGGCCCCUCUUGAGACAGGCCAGCCCCACAGAAGAGAAGGCCUAGGGCUGGCUCCCUAGGGUUGUGAGAAACUCCAGAACAGUGUUGACUUCUUUCUUCCCCUAGGGUCACACCAGCAUGUAGCAUGAUGCCUUGCACACAGUAGGUGCUCAGUAAACACUUUUGGACCACUGAAUGCAAUGACCAAUGGAUAAAAACAUUGUUCUUCCCUUGACCAGAUAAGACCCGCUUCCCUGGGCGUCCACAGGCCGCUGGUGAUGCACACUCUUCUCUGUGUGGCCUCUGCCUGCCGGGGGAAGCCUUGUGACCAGUUUCUCCCCGCUGAGUCAAGGGAGAAUGAGGGGGAGCAUGAACAUUUGCUUGUUUCCCUUAUGGCUUCUGAAUCUUUAUUUUAUUUUUUUUAAUGAAAAUGUCUACUUGAAUUUAGGUAAGGAAGACCUUGCUCUUAGUUUUUGAAUUUUGAACUAGAAAAAAAAAAAAGGUCUUUCAAUGAACACUAGCAGAACAGUCUAAGCAAUCAUGAUAAAGACCUAAUUCCUGCCUCUUUCUCCUGCUCUGAUGGAGCUGAUGACAGCACAAAUGGGAGAGGGAGAAUGUAGCAAGGACACUGAAGGACAGAGAGUUGUCCAAGCCACCAGGAAGGUGAAAGUGGGAAUUCAUUUUCUGUGCCAUUGGGUGGUUCCUUAGGAAAAAACGUAGACAAAGAAAAAUAUUGUAUUAUUUGUGGAAAUCAAGUUCGUAUUGCAGGUGUAAGAAAUGUCUUUGUGGGUUGACAGCAUUUAUUGAACAUGAGCCUUUAUUUUUGGAGCUCCUCCAACGUACCAUGCACUGUCACCUUAACAGUUCCUCACAGUGACCCCAUAGAGUCAAGAGUCAACUGCAUUUUUGCAGAAGCGAGGCUCAGAGAGGUUGAGGGUUGUCCUAGGUAUCCAGGUAGCGAGCAACAGAGCAAGAAUUUGAACUCGGGUUGUAACUCUUCAUUGUAUGUGUCAACUUGACUGUGCAAAGUGAUGCCCA